AACGAACGCUGGCGGCAUGCCUAACACAUGCAAGUCGAACGAGACCUUCGGGUCUAGUGGCGCACGGGUGCGUAACGCGUGGGAACCUGCCCUUAGGUUCGGAAUAACUCCCCGAAAGGGGUGCUAAUACCGGAUAAUGUCUUCGGACCAAAGAUUUAUCGCCUUUGGAUGGGCCCGCGUUGGAUUAGCUAGUUGGUAGGGUAAAAGCCUACCAAGGCUACGAUCCAUAGCUGGUCUGAGAGGAUGAUCAGCCACACUGGGACUGAGACACGGCCCAGACUACUGCGGGAGGCAGCAGUGGGGAAUAUUGGACAACGGGCGAAAGGCUGAUGCAGCUAUGCCGCGUGAGUGAUGAAGGCCUUAGGGAUGUAAAGCUCGUUUACCCGGGAUGAUAAUGACAGUACCGGGAGAAUAAGCGCCGGCUAACUCCGUG
rnacentral:rRNA from 1 species